rnacentral:rRNA from 1 species
AGUGAACGCUGGCGGCAGGCCUAACACAUGCAAGUCGAGCGGCAGCGCGGGGGCAACCCUGGCGGCGAGCGGCGGACGGGUGAGGAAUUCGUCGGAAUCUGCCUUUUUGUGGGGGAUAACGUAGGGAAACUUACGCUAAUACCGCAUACGUCCUACGGGAGAAAGUGGGGGACCGCAAGGCCUCACGCAGAAAGAUGAGCCGACGACCGAUUAGCUAGUUGGUGGGGUAAAGGCCCACCAAGGCGACGAUCGGUAGCUGGUCUGAGAGGAUGAUCAGCCACAGGGGGAGGGGGAAGGGGGCGAGACGCGGAGGGGAGGGAGGAGGGGGGAAGGGGGGGCGAGGGGGGCAGGGGUGAGGGGGGGAGGGGGGGUGGGGGAAGAAGGGGGUGGGGUGGGAAAGGGGGGUGGGGGGGAAGGAAAGGCCGGGGGGUAAGAGGGGGGGGGGAUGACGGUAGGGGAAGAAUAAGCGCCGGCGAAGUUGGUG